rnacentral:rRNA from 1 species
AUGAAUCCUCCUUGCCUGUUAAGUUGCAACGGUGCAACCAAACACCAUGGAGGCUUCUGUAUUAGGGACGGUGAAUCUGCAUCGACAGUGAUGGAUGGAAAUUGCUCGCCCUCCUUCCUCCAUAAACCACGGGGACCUUGUAUAGUUGUAUUAGCCUCCCCAUCUAUCCGUCAGGAAGCCCGGACUUUCCCUGCUAUUGCUGUCGAAAACGCUACCAUUGUAGAACAUGAACUGAACUUAAGUGUGGCACAUGGAGCUUCAGAUAACUUGAAGCCUCAAAUGGGGAUGACAUUUGAAGGACUGAAGGCUGCGGAGGAGUUCUACAAGUCUUAUUCACACCACUCUGGUUUUGGAGUUCGUAUUGGACAACAAAAGAAGUUAGAAAAUGAGGUCAUUCACAAUAAAAGCUACUGUACAUGUUUGGUAAUGAUACCUACGAGAUAG